UAAGCCUUCCUAUGAUAAUCUCAGAUGAAUUUUUGUUUCAGAAUUUCUUUACAGAACUGUCCAAAAUUUCCAUCUCUUAACCUGCUAAAUCUACCUUGGAAUCUUCAAAUUCCCUAAAUCUUUAGAGACUUGAUAGUUACUCACUGGUCAGGGCACUGUAAAAGGAUUCUGGAGAUUUUGCUUUGAUGGUUAACAAAGGCCCUCCCAACCCUUUAUCUGCUUCUGGGAUCCCCGAAGAGUGGGAGUCUUUCUCAGCAUCUUCCCUGUGGAAAGACCAUCUGCUCCAUUUGCUGUUGCAACACAGAUAACCACUGUGAAGCUCAAUGGUGAAUUUCAAUGAGUUUAUUCUAUCUCUUGUGACCCACUUAGGCUCAUACUUAUAGGUGCUCUGCAAAUGCUAAUUGGUGAUGACCAGGAUAAUGAUGGUGACAAAUGGUCUCAUGAAACUGAUGAGUCAUUUAGUGGAAGAGGCGGGUAUAGCAGUUAUGUAAUGUUACGUCACCAGACAGGUAAUGUUUCACACUUCAGAGCAA